CAGUGGGCUGAAAUUGUGCCACUGCACUCCAGCCUGGGCGACAGAGCCAGACUCUGUCUCAAAAAAACAAUUAUCAAGUGGGUCAUAAUUUGCAUGGAAAUAAAUUAUGUAUAGAUUUACCAGAAGGAAUAGUCCAUGAGAAAAGGUAGAUUGUACUGUUCACGUUCUGUGUGAGAUACCAGUGUUUUUCAUCAGUACUGUUUGUCCAUUGUGAGAUGGUCCUGCACCAUGUUUUCUUAGCAACCAUGGCAGAAGGUAGUUGGAAAUUAGAUACUGCAGUCUUCCAGAGAGGCCUCAGUGUGGGGGGAUGCAAAGAAGGUGCACUGUGUGCGGGGCACCACCUGUGAGACCCUAACCCCGAGCUGCUCCCCACACCACACUGGGGCCGCUGCGUGAGACUGGUGAGGCCGGACACUUGCGUGCGAGUUGCACGAAGCAGGCUUGUCACUCACAGAUGAGCAGGGGACAGCAGAUGCCGGGGCUCGUGGUGAUCUGGCCCCCAAGGCUCAGGCAAGUGGCCAGGGUGGAUGGGGUCUUGUCUGCAUUAUCUGUGUGUGCCCUAUGUUGUACUGCAGUUGGGAGACCCCGAAAGUGCUAUUUUGGGUUUUAUACUCGGGGCCACCUGACCCGCUGGACUGAGUUUUAGGACACCCUGUUGUGGGAGGGACAGGAGCAAAGCCCAGGCCACUCUCAGCUGCUCCUUAUCUCAGGGUGUUGCAUUCCCAGCACAUUGGAAAGUUUUUCUUGAGAACUGCAAGCAAGAAAGGAGGGAGAACUGGGUGGUUCAGUUCUCUGUCCCCGGGGAGCUGUCCUGCUGGGGCAGGUGAUGGAAUCUGCCACAUUUUCAGUGUUUUUGCCGCGUGUCUGUAACCAGCAUCUAAGUGUGCAGGGGUUACUUUGGAACCCUGAGAAUUGUAUUUAGCUCCAGGCCUCAGGAUUUUGCUAUAACUUUGUAGUAGCUGCAUUACACAUCCCACAAAUUCUUUUGGCCUAUAAAAUAUAUAAUUAUAGAUCCUGAGGAACUUGGCUUAAUAUAUUAUUGAUACAAAAACAGUACAAAACUGCUUUGACUAAAAUUCCUUCGUUAUUUGUAGUAGCAAAAUAUGUUGUUUUUUCUCUCCAGCAAUUCAGAAUUGUCCACUGCCUUGGUAUUUCUAAUUUCCCUGCUUGUCCAGGUGACAUCUGUUUGCUUUCCUGAUACCUUCACAGGCUUCCCUUGUCCCCAGGAAGCCUCCCACGCCCGUCCACUUUCUCUCCUGUCUCCAGUUUCCCAUGAGGCACAGCUGGUGCCGAGGCAUCCGAGUCUCCCCUGCACCUCUGGAUCGCACACACUCAUUCUGCUUUUCCCUCCUGUAUUUUGACCAGAUCUGACUUUUGCUAAGUCCAUGUGCCCCUCCAGGUGUUUGUGUGGUGAGACAUUGUGCUCAUUCAUUCCCUGGAAAGUUUGCAGUGUGUCUGGUACGUAAGCGUGAGGCGGGUCACUGAUGCGGGAAGCUCUCCUCACAGUGAAACCGUCCUCGCGGUUUUUGUGUUUUUUUGUUUGUUUGUUUGUUUUUUUGAGGCAGUCUCGCUCUGUCGCCCAGGCUUGAGUGCAGUGGUGCCAUCUCGGCUCACUGCAAGCUCUGCCUCCCGGAUUCACACCAUUCUCCUGCCUCAGCCUCCCGAGUAGCUGGGACUACAGGCGCCCCCACCACGCCCGCUCAUUUUUUGUAUUUUUAGUAGAGACGGGGUUUCUCCGUGUUCGUCAGGAUGGUCUCAAUCUCCUGACCUCAUGAUCCGCCCACCUCAGCCUCCCAAAGUGCUGGGAUUACAAGCGUGAGCCACCGUGUCCGGCCAAAAUCGUCCUCUUUAAAGCAGCCACUGGGUUUGGAAUUUAUUAAAUACUUGAAAAUCUCAAAAAGUUAAAAAUGUCAGGUGAACUGUUGUUUUUUCCCCCCAGUACCAACCUUUAUGUGUUAUGUGAGGAAAUACUGAGUUUAUUAUUUUUGAUGGAAAAUUUAUGAUUUCUAAGAAGUCAUUUUUUGACUGAGAACUUUUAUCUUUCUCAAAUCUUAGCCUGAACUAGCCAAGUUCAGGCUGCUGUAGCGAGCGUCUCCCUGGCGGCCAGAGUUGCAGGGCUGUGCUAGAGUUUGCUAGCCGCUGGGAUGCCUUGAGAUAGAGGUGUGACCCUGGGCCUCUUCACCAGGUGGCAGAAACCAGCUUAGAUCAGCUUCUGCUAAAGAGGCCACUUGUCACCUCACAUGACAAGGAGCUUGGAGAGGCUUUACUUCUGUGUGCCGCCUUCCCCGUGGGCGGUGAGCUGUCCCUGGGGUCAUAUCCAACCCCCUGAGGAUGACGGCUGCUCUGUUAGUCUCAGUGCUGCACUGAGACCCGCAGGCCCCACGGCUGGAGAGGUGGGGAAGGAUGUGAUUUCUGUUACUGGACAGGCAGUGCUGGGCCCCUAGGACGAUGGGUCACUCCAGCCCAGCUGCGAACAGGUGCGCUGCCUGCAGGGGCUGCCCUGCACGUGCGAGUGAGUGCCCACACGCUGCACCAGUUGGAACUGAGAGUCAGGCGGAAGGGCCUGUGUGCCCUGGCCUUAACUCUGGGUUUGCAGGAUUUUCGCACACCACUUUUAUUUCAGUUUCUAGUUCUUUCCACAGCUAGAUUCAGUUAUAUUAAUAAGCAUAAAAGCCAAAAUUGUGUUUCUGUUACAUGGGUUAGUUAGGUCACUGUUUGACAGGCAUUCUCAUUUAAUAGACUUUAUUAAAAUCAUCAGUAAAGCUGCUACUAUGGGAUACAAGCUCAGAGACAGAAUAUAUUACACUUAUUUGAAUCUUUGUUAAAAUGGCAUUUGUAGACAAGAGAUCAGAGUCCCUGAGGUAAAAGCGGAUCUGCUAUUUGGUGCUACGAUAAGGCUAAAUAGCAGUGAGAAUUUCUGCUGGUGCCCCCAGGGAAUUAAUAAGGCUGGGAGGGGGAGUAAAAACUAUACAUAAGCCAGUGCCUUUAACAUUCAUGUAUAACCUUCCAAACAUUUAACGACUGUGUGAAUAUGUGAAUUAAUUAAUAGAGAUGAGGUCAUGUUAUGUUGCCCAGGCUGGAGUGCAGUGGCACAAUCAUGGCUCAUUGCAGCCUCAACCUCCUGGGCUCAAGCCCAAGUAGCUGAGACUACAGGUGCACCAUCAUGACUGGCUAUGAUGUAGAUUUUUUUGCUCAUAUUGGUUAAGGGAAAAGUGGUCGUCUAACAGUAUGUGUAGUAUCUCAUUUAUAUAAUAUGUGUAAAUUAUACCUUUAUCAGCGUAUUUGCACAGAAAAAUGUUUGGAAGGUUAUACUUGAAUGUUAAAGUAAUUGGCUUAUGCAUAGUUUUUAUUUUUUCCCUAUUAAUUUCCUUUAUUUAAAUUAAAAAAAUUAUACAAUGACACGAGUUUAUCUUUUCAAAAUCAAAUCCCAUUCAAGCAGAAUGUCCCUACCUACCCCCUCACUCUCCACCCCCGCAGCUUGUAUUGUGAUGAGUUUGAUGUAUAUCCUUCAAGAUCUUUGCCUUUAAUUUUUUAGAGAGAUGCUUGAACCCGUCAACAAUAUAAUAUUGCUUUGUAUAUAUUUCAUUUUUUUCCUAUUAACUGUUUUUUGUUUGUUUGUUUGUUUUUUUGCUUGUUUUUUGAGACAGGGCCUCACUCUGUCACCCAGGCUGGAGUGCAGUGGUUGCAGUCACGGCUCACUGUAGCCUCGACCUCCCGGGCUCAGGUGAUUCUCCCACUUCAGCCUCUUGAGUAGCUGGGACAGGAGCAUGCCACCACGCCUGGCUAAUUUUUGUAUUUUUUGUAGAGACGAGGUUUUGCCAUGUUGCCCAGGCUGGUCUCAAACUCCUGGACUCAAGCAAUCUGCCCGCCUUGGCCUCCCAAAGUGCUGGGAUUACAGGGGUGAGCCACUGUGCCUGGCCAACUGUUUUUAAUUUGAAAUAAUUUCAACUGAAUAGAAAAGUUGCAAGUGUGAUAAAUGAGAUGUUUUUCUUGAGCCGUUUGAAAGUUGCCUAGAUGCCCCUUCAUUCCUAAAUACAUUAGCGUGUAUUUCCUACAAAGCCAUUAUUUUUUGUUGUUGUUGUUUUUGAUUUUGUUUUGAGAUGGGGUCUUACUCUGUCACCCAUGUUGGAGUGCAGUGGUGUGAUCUUGGCUCACUGCAACCUCCACCUCCCAGGCUCAAGCAAUCCUACUACCUUAGCCUCCCAAGUAGCUGGGACCACAGGUAUGUGCCAUUAGGCCCGGCUAAUUUUUUCAAUUUUUGGUAGAAACAGGGUUUUACCACUUUGCCCAGGCUGCUCUCGAACUCCUGAGCUCAGGCGAUCUCCACCUCAGCCUCCCAACGUGCUGGGAUUGUAGGCAUGAGCCACCAUACCCAGCGUACAAAGCCAUUCUUUUACUGAAUUAUGAUAUAACUAGUCAACGUCAGGAAGUUUAUAUGUAUGUUUAAAAUAUAUAUGUGGUAUUUUGCUAUGUCCUGUUUUUUUACUCCACAAGUUAUUAUUUUCUGAUUUGAAUUACUGCAUAUACAUUGUAUUUUUCCUUUUAAAGGAGUCUUUUCUAAUAAUUGCAUUGGUCUCAUAGCCACAAAUUAAAGAAAUUUAUGAUUGCAUCUGUAAGGUUUGUUUGUAUACCUCUAAAUCUUUUUUCCCCUUGCUGGUUUUUUUAUUGUGAUAAAGUAUACUUAACAUAAAUUUUACUACUUUAGCCAUUUCUAAGUGUGCUAUUAAGUGGCAUUAAGUACCUUCACAGUGUUGCAUAACAACCAUUGUAACCGUCAUCAGUCUGUUUCCAAAACAUUUUCAUCACCCCAAGCAGAAACUCUGUAUCCAUUAAACAGUAACUUCUCUUAUCUUCCUCCUCCCAGCUCCUGGUAACCCCUGAUAGACUUUUUGUCUCUGAAUUUGCUUAAACCCGAUAUUUCAUGAGUGACUGACAGUGACCGCUUGUUCUGCAUCCCCCAGGAGUGACUGUGACUGCUUGUUCUCCAUCCCCCAGGAGUGACUGAUUGUGACUACUUGUUCUCCAUUCCCCUUUUUACACUGGAAAGGAUUUUAUUUUCAAUUACAAAAGAAGUCUCUAUGUAUAAUCUUAUUGUGGAAAAAAAUCAAACAUUGCAAAUAAAGCUACAGUUUUCUUUGGUCAA